GGGAACCACAGAACAAGUUCUGGGCUGGAGAUGUAGAUUUCACUUGAGAGCUGCCAGCAGUAGAGAUGGUAAUUGGAGCCAUGGGAAUGGAGGCGAUUGUCCAGGGAGUGUAGGUAAAGUGAGAAUAGAUAAGUACCAAAGGGCACAGGCUGGUUAUGUCAACAUUUAAGUGACAAUUUCAGAAAGAGAAGCCAAAGAGGAAACCAGAGAAAAGCAGUUAGAGAAGCAAGAAGGCAGCCAGCAGUGGUCUCGAUACAGCUGUGAUGGGGAGACAAAGAUGAAACAGCAGGAACUGGCACCAAGAGUUACUGGUGUAGCUUGGGCUCUCCCCUCAUCAUCCUCUCCAGUUGGGAGUCGUGUGACAGGAACAAGAAGCCUGUCUCGGCACAUGUGUAAAAGAGCUAACUCUGGACACCCGUGUCUGAUCUGUGCUGACCCACAAGCAUGAGGUGUCCCACCUUGGUGACUGGAAAUGACACCAUCCAUUUUUUCUGGCCACUGUGUUGCACCCCUGAGUUUUUCCUUCAUAUGACAGACUUCACAGUAAAUACUCCUACUGAGUCCAAACAACCACUAUGAUUGAGAACAAGCAUGAAUCUGCCACCCACCUUCUCCUGGAAAUAAGGUUACUGGGUUGCUGAACUCCCAUGAACCAAAAAGAAAACAUUAAAUGGUAUCCAAACCAGCCUGGAAGGGACAGCGAGAAAAGCCAGAACCAAGACUGACCAACCUGAAUGCUGGUAAAUGUUAUCAAGAAUCUGGAGCAGGAGAAGCCUCACUCUCCUCUCAAAAGGAGAAGAACCUGAAGAAAACACUUCCCUUCCUUCUCUCUGCGUAGGGGCAGUGACCUUGAAUUCAACCACCAUCAUCCCUUCCAGACACCAGAAGGGGGAGUCCCACAAGGCAGAAGGUGCCUCUGUGACGCGUCCACUUCUCUUCCAUGUUCUUUACCUCCUUGCUCAGGAAGCCAUAAAGUUGAGCUGAGCAGAAGGUGAGUGUCAUUGCAAAGUUUACGCAGACUAUGCUGACAGGUUCAUGAAAACACUACUGAAUAUGUUACAUACCACCAAUGCUCACAGCAUAUCCUGUGUUGGAAGUGAUACUUUUCCAUUGCCAGUAACCCUCCUUUGUCCUAGGAGCUCACUGAACAGCUAAAAUCGGGUGAUAUUUUUAUAUGGAACAUGGAACAUAUUAAGUCCUUUUGCUCAGUGACCCAAAAAGGAACUAAACAGUACCCAGACUAGAAAUCAAUGUUAAAUUAUUCAAAUAAAUUCCACUUAAAGAA